AAAAUCCCCGUUGUUGGCUUAUCCCAGAAAGUGAUUCAUCCUCCCCACGGGAUCUGGACUUGCCUCCGCAUGUUUUGCAAUGCUGCCUGGCUUUAUAACAGCCUGGUUGCAUGUGGUGGCUCCUCACUGGCUUCUCUGCUCGCCUUUGAGUGAGGAGGCAGCAGCUCAUCCUCCUCACGAUGAUUUUCCUCCUGCAGCAUCUCUUCUUGCUGGCCACAGACUUACUGCUCGCGACGACCUUUUCCUGCCUCUUCUACGUCUUCGUAUGCAUUUGUAUUGCAUCUUUGGUCUGCAUCAUUAUCCUCUUCUCCUUUGGCAUUGUGGAGAGGAAUGUUGAUGUGAAAGGGAGAGCAAUUGUCAUUCUCGUGUCCAACAGCUCCAUUGGGAGGAUGUUUGCAAGGAACCUGAAUAAAGCAGGUUUCAGGGUGUCUGCUGCACACUGGCCUCCUCGAGAGAAGGGGACAGCUAUGGAAGAAGAGUGCUCCUCAGGCAUUGAGGUAGCCGAGCUCCACAUGACUGAGGAUGAGUACCAGAAGACAAUGAAAACCUUCAUAGAAAACCACUUGUCCCUGAAAGGCAUGUAUGGGCUGAUGAAGAAGCCAUCCAUCCUGAUAUGGGAAGAAAUGGAACCAGACACACACAGCUUACCUGAGAGAAAAACCUCCUCGAAAUGGAAGAAGGUUUUCAAGGCUCCAGCCCUCUGUGUCAGAGUCCUCUCUUGCCUAGUGAACUGUGCCUUGACUUUCCUGAAGAGAAGCCUGCAGCUCCUUGUGCCUCCACUGGAGUCCAAAAACUGAGAGGAGAGCAAACAUGCUCACAGCUCAGUUACAUGCACCUCAGAACUAAGCAGCAUCCACUGUAAUGGCAGCUUUUACCUCUGCUGGAAUGAGGGAGGACGACCCACCCUGCAGGAAGAGGGCUGGGAAAGCAUCCUUGGAUCAGGCUCCUGCCCCCUUCAGCAUUCUGACACGUUAAGGAUGCUGCCUUCCUUCACCAAUCCAGCCCCAUGGAAUCCAGCUUGGGGCACAGCCACAUGCAGCCAGCUGCCUGAAGGGCAAAGUCAAACCAGAUUUGGCUUGUAUUGCCUUAACUG
rnacentral:lncRNA from 14 species